AGAUAUAUCACUAAAACCAGCACCCAAGUGAUGUGACUCUUCACCAGAGUCCUGCCCACAAGGAGGAUUGUGACAUUUCACUGGACCAGCACCCACUCAGGAAUCAAAUCCGAGUUCGUCUACAGCUGAUUCGGCAGGUACCAGGGCGUCCGCGAUGGUGAGUGAUAGCACCGCGAUGGUGGUAUUGCUCCAUAUGCCUGAGACCCUAACAAAAGCCUAAUUACAACUCAUAUGCCUGGAGCCAGGACAUGUGCAGGAUGGUGAUGUAACUUUCCUCUCUGGAAUGGGUCCUGCACAAAGGAAUGAUAGUAACAUAUUGCAAAGCCAGACACACAGCCAUGAUGGUCCAAGUUAUAUUGGGAUUCAGCCAAUAGAAGAUAUUUUGCCUGUCAUCCCUAAGCUUAGGACAAUAGGGUCCUGCCCACAAGAAAGAUUGUGACAUCUCACUGGACAAGCACCCACCCAGACUCUGCCAAGAGAGGGGAUUAUUACAUAUUGCAGAGCCCAGCACCUAGGUGGAGUGACUCUCAUCUUUUUCUUCUACCCCGUAUAUAGCCAGCUUGGUGACCUACUAUUUGAGUCUAUACCCAGGCCCAGACCACAGAUGAAAUUGUGCAAUAUGUGGAACAAACACCUAAACAAUAUAUAACACCUUCCUUGGCUCUGUCUACAAAGGGCACUUUUAUAUAUCACUGGGACCAUCAACCAGGUGAUGUUGUGCCAUAUAACUGAGACCGUAUCAAAAGCCUAAUAACAAGACGUAUGUCUGGAGCCCCGAUAUGCACAGGAUGGUGAUAUAACCCUCUUCUCUGGAAUGGGCCCCACACAAAGGAAGGAUAGUGACAUAUUGCAAGCCCAGGCACACAGGCCCAGAGCACAGUUGAAAUUGUGACAUAUGUACACCAAGCAACCAAGCAAUGUAUAACACCUCAUUUGGCAAUGGAAUCGAGGGCACUUUUACAUAUCACUGAGACCAGCGCCCAGCUGAUGUGAAAUAUUGGCCUGAACCCUGCCUACAAAAGCAUUGUGGCUUUUAUCUAGCUCCAUUACAUAAGUGAUGUGACUUCCUUCUACUGCCUUGGCCCUGCACUUAUGGUGAAUCGUGACACAAAAUUGGGUAGAGCAACCAGCCUGGGCCCUGACCAGCACAGAGAUUGAGGCAUAUUGCUGAACCCAGGACCAAGAUGAAGUCACUCUCCUGCCUUGAUCCUGCACACAGGGACCCUUGUGACAUAUAUACAGGCCAAUUGCCUAGGUGAUGUUGUGCAAUAUACCUGAGACCA
rnacentral:lncRNA from 1 species